rnacentral:rRNA from 1 species
UACGAAGGGGGCUAGCGUUGCUCGGAAUCACUGGGCGUAAAGGGUGCGUAGGCGGCUUUUUAAGUCAGGGGUGAAAUCCUGGAGCUCAACUCCAGAACUGCCUUUGAUACUGAGAAGCUUGAGUCCGGGAGAGGUGAGUGGAACUGCGAGUGUAGAGGUGAAAUUCGUAGAUAUUCGCAAGAACACCAGUGGCGAAGGCGGCUCACUGGCCCGGUACUGACGCUGAGGCGCGAAAGCUAGGGGAGCAAACGGG